UAGGAUAUCAAGAAAGAUGCUGCAAUAACUGAAAUCGGAGGUGCUACUCCAUCAGAUGAGAAAACAGUCGAGCUGGGACCAUUAGUUGAUGAGAGCUAAGCGGAGGCAAAGAGUGCAUUCAAAACUCUUUUGGAAUCUGCAAAUAUUGGGUCUGAUUGCACGUGGGAUCAAGUUUAUUACUUGAUUGUUUUGUGCGUACCAAACAAUUGAGGGAGAUCAUUUGACAUGAAGUGUAUUUGUCAGGCCAUGAGAGCAGUAAUUAAUGACUGGAGAUAUGGUGCUCUAAAAUCCCUUGGUGAGCAGAAGUAAGCUUUUAAUGAGUAUCUGAGCCAAAAGAAAAAACUGGAAGCUGAAGAGAGGCGUGUUAAACAGAAAAAAGCUCGGGACGAUUUCAGGACAAUGUUAGAAGUAAGUGAAAUUUUCUUUUGUGGGGGUCUUCCAUUUGAUAUAUCAU